CGGCGCGUAGAAGAGAUUGCCUUUUGUAAGAAUGCCUCAAAUGAUGGCAGAGGCGUUCGCGAGAGGAUUGCUAGACAAGAUAAUGGUAGAAGUUCUGGACGUUAUAGAUCGCGAUGCAGAGGAUGGAAAAUCCUGGGAGCAGCACGUCACUGAGGAAACAGGCGAUGCUCAACUGGAACAUGUACACGGUAGACCGCAAGCAAACGAACAUACACACAUACAUUAUAGCAAGGCCGAGGAAAUAGAAUUGAUUGCAAAGAUAGUUCGUGAUUUGCGUGACAUACGGAUCGGAGAUUCGCGUUAUGUUCUUCCUCCUUCAUUGUUAACAUUGGAGAAACAGGUGAAAUACGCCACGUGCAACGUCGACGAUGCACCGCUUAUAAAUAAUCCAGCAACCGACAUAGCCGAAACUCAACGCACGACCCGAGGUCAAGGCGACACGCACCAGAUUAAUGCGACAAUUCUCGAAUCAGUGAUUGAAUCGACGGAACCGGUGAAGUUGAUUCGAAAGAAGAAGGAAGGAGAAGCGACUAACGAGGCGACCAACGUGUCAGUUGAUUUAUUACAACAAUUGAUUGAAGAUUUAGAGAACAAAACAGUCUCGACUUCCUCUAAGGACGAUGCUCCUUUAGACUCGGUCAGUAAGGAAUGCAUUUCCGUUUGGGAGGAGAAAGAAGAACAAUUUAUUAGGACUAUCGAAGGCAAUGUUAACACCAGACAUGAGACUACAACGGGGACUCUUCAAGGUAGCGAAUCAAACAGUCGCUUCCACAUUAUCAAAUUGAAGCACGAUGAAGAACUGAGGUCUUACUCAAGUCAACAUGUGGCGUCCACCUCGAGGGAAGCCGACCUCGAACAAGUUCAGAUCGAGAAACGUGGAUCAAAUUCGUUAUCAUCGUUGAAACCAUCGUGCGAUGAUGACAAGAAGACCAUAGAUCAGAUACUACCCAUCGAUGACGCAGAGAAGAGAAAAACGUUCAAUGAAGCGAUAACGAAAAAGAAGAAGAAGAAAGGCUUUGGCAGCCGACUGAGGAAACUCUUCCGUGCCACCUUCGGCCAUCAGAAGAAUUGAUGCUGGAUUCCGGAAGGAAAAUGCUACCUCACGAUCUACGUCAAAUGACGCCGAUUCUCUUCGUUUGCUCGUACAGCUUUUUAGUCUUGUAUUUUUUAGAGGGAAACACGCCCACGAAUACAUAGCGAGUAAAAAUAACCGGUAGCGUAAUCACUGGCCGUGGGUCUUCAGCAUCCAACAUGACUUCGGUGCAACGCGUGAAUCAGACUCUAUACAUUUCUAGAUGAUCUGGCAAUCUGACAUAGGAAUGUCAUCGUCGUCGACGUCGAAGUCUCAUUUAUCGCAAUAAGAAAAGACAUUCGCCAACUCUCGCCUCUCUCUCGUCGCUUCUCGAACUGUUUUUGGAUCGCGGUGUUGCCAUGCCCCGGCGUCGUCGAUCCGGACCGAAAC
rnacentral:misc_RNA from 1 species